GCGGAAGAAUAUUUUGGUUAAUGUAUAUAGCCAUGCGAAAAUGGCUUAUAUAUGUUCGAGCAUAAUGUUAUAAUCAUUUGGUAUGGAAUGGUUAAUCGCUAUCAUGAUUUGUGCUAUUUAUGCAAAAAGGGCUAGUUGAAUCAUGGAAACUAUGAAAUAGGUAAAGUCUACCUUAAAGGCAGAUGCUGGCAGCACAGUGAUGUAGAUUUGGAAAAUCACUAAAAAUAGUAGGAUUGAAAUUAAAUAGUGAAUAAAUUAUGUAAACG
rnacentral:lncRNA from 1 species